AAAGUAUCAAACGGAGACAGCAUAUGCCUUAUCCCAUACAACACUGGUGGAGUGAGGACGUACCUUUGUAUGAGGGGUAAUCCAAAACGACCAACUUUCAAACAGUUGACGGGUAAUCUCAAACAACAAGGUUGUGUUGAAUGUGGAUAUUGUGUCAUGCGGUACAUGAAGGAGAUUGUUGAAUGUGA